CGUAACAAGGUUUCCGUAGGUGAACCUGCGGAAGGAUCAUUACCUAGAGUUUGUAGACUUCGGUCUGCUACCUCUUACCCAUGUCUUUUGAGUACCUUCGUUUCCUCGGCGGGUCCGCCCGCCGAUUGGACAACAUUCAAACCCUUUGCAGUUGCAAUCAGCGUCUGAAAAAACAUAAUAGUUACAACUUUCAACAACGGAUCUCUUGGUUCUGGCAUCGAUGAAGAACGCAGCGAAAUGCGAUAAGUAGUGUGAAUUGCAGAAUUCAGUGAAUCAUCGAAUCUUUGAACGCACAUUGCGCCCCUUGGUAUUCCAUGGGGCAUGCCUGUUCGAGCGUCAUUUGUACCUUCAAGCUCUGCUUGGUGUUGGGUGUUUGUCUCGCCUCUGCGUGUAGACUCGCCUUAAAACAAUUGGCAGCCGGCGUAUUGAUUUCGGAGCGCAGUACAUCUCGCGCUUUGCACUCAUAACGACGACGUCCAAAAGUACAUUUUUACACUCUUGACCUCGGAUCGGGUAGGGAUACCCGCUGAACUUAAGCAUAUCA
rnacentral:rRNA from 1 species